rnacentral:tRNA from 1 species
GGCCGCGUGGCGGAAUGGUAACGCACCCCUUUUGCAAUGGGGAAGUCCUGUGUAGCGCAGGUGCAGGUUCGAGUCCUGUCGCGGUCU